AUCUUUCUGAUACAAAAGCCAGAAUCCAGAGAAGAAGUUUUGACCGUGAAGAUGAAAGUCCCAAGCUAAGUGUGGCAAGGGAGAAAGUUACAGGGAGCUUGGGACUUGGUUGACCUUCCAGACAUGCUCUCUUGGUCCUGCAUAUAGAUCUGUUGGGAGGUCUCAGGUGCGGUGUGCCUCUCCAGCUUUGGCUCCUCAGUGCUGGCGACCCUGACAGGCCUAUUGGAAGAGGCAAUCAACGUAACAGAGAAUGGAAGAUCUGCCAGAUGGACUCGAUGCCAAGAGAGAUGCCCGAGGGCAGUCAUUCUACAGGAAUGGGAAGAUGAGAACCCACAUCACACUGUUCAAAUGUCCCCUUCCCAGAGAUCCCCAAAUUAUUCACCCAAAAGACCUUAUCACACAGCAGGAAGAGGUCCCAGAAAACCUGGCUUUUCUGAGACAAGACAGCAUGGUGCCCAAUGCCUGGGCUUUGGAGUCAGGCCAGCAUGAGCUGUAAGCCCAAGUUUACUCUUCAUAGGAGUUAAUUUUAGUCUUUUCUGUCUCUGUGUUCUUAACCUUUGACCUGAACCUUUAACCUUAAACUUGAAACUUUAUCCUUAAAUGAAGCAUAAAACCUACUCACAUUAAAGUAGGGGGGGGUGGCAACAAAUUCGUGCACCAGGAGUUCUAGAGCUGGGGGGAGGGACGAGAAAUCUGCAACAUACAAAGUGCAGCUGUGCACAGUAAUACAGGUGAAUCUCACACACUAACGCUGAGUGACAGGUCAGACAAGAGAGUAUAUACAUAGUGUACACUGCACGUGUGCAGGGUGAAAGUGUAUGCGAGCACGUGUGCAAAGUAAAAGUGUACACCAGCAUGUGUGUAAAGUAAGAGUGUAUACCAGUGUGUGUGCAAAGUGAACAUAUACAGCAGCAUGUGUGCAGAGUGAAAGUGUACACCAGUGUGUGUGCAAAGUGAAAGCUGUGGGAACCAAACCUGCGUUGUCAUAAGCUGAGGUGGGGUUACCUAAUGUGGGGGGGAGGGGAUGGAGGUGUGGCUGUGAGACAGGUGAGCAUCUCUGGUGUGGCUUCUCUUACACCAGAGAGUCUCAACCUGUGGGU